AGAGUUUGAUCCUGGCUCAGGACGAACGCUGGCGGCGUGCUUAACACAUGCAAGUGGAGCGACGAACCAGGCUUCGGCCUGGGGCAAAGCCGCGAACGGGUGAGUAACACGUGGGUAACCUGCCCCGAUGAUUGGGACAACCCGAGGAAACUCGGGCUAAUACCAAAUGUGCCCUCCGGCCUCAAGGCCGCUGGGGAAAGGAAGCUUCGGCCUCCGCAUCGGGAUGGGCCCGCGGCCCGUUAGCUUGUUGGUGAGGUAACGGCUCACCAAGGCAACGAUGGGUAGCUGGUCUGAGAGGACGAUCAGCCACACUGGGACUGAGACACGGCCCAGACUCCUACGGGAGGCAGCAGUGGGGAAUCUUGCGCAAUGCGCGAAAGCGUGACGCAGCAACGCCGCGUGGGGGAAGAAGGCCUUCGGGUUGUAAACCCCUUUCAGUUGGGACGAAGCUCCGCCGGUUAACAGCCGGCUGGAGUGACGGUACCUUCAGAAGAAGCCCCGGCUAACUACGUGCCAGCAGCCGCGGUAAUACGUAGGGGGCUAGCGUUGUCCGGAAUCAUUGGGCGUAAAGAGCGUGUAGGCGGCUUGGUAAGUCCGCUGUGAAAGUCCAGGGCUCAACCCUGGAAUGCCAGUGGAAACUGUCAAGCUAGAGUCCGGAAGAGGCGAGUGGAAUCCCUGGUGUAGCGGUGAAAUGCGCAGAUAUCAGGAGGAACACCAAUGGCGAAGGCAGCUCGCUGGGACGGCACUGACGCUGAGACGCGAAAGCGUGGGGAGCAAACAGGAUUAGAUACCCUAGUAGUCC
rnacentral:rRNA from 1 species